rnacentral:lncRNA from 1 species
CUUGGAGGAUGUGAAUCAGGAGCAGAGGGAAGGAGUUUUCAACAAAAGUCAGACAGAAGUACCUCUUCCUUAGAACAAAGAGACAAGUACCUUGCUGAGCAGCCUAGAACAAAAGUGAAACCUGAGGGCACACGAAGUCGAUACUAAAAAUAAAAAAUCAGCAGCCAGGUCCAAGGCUGUGGUCCAAAAUCAGAGUCACAAGGGAACCUGACUGCAGAGAGAACGUAUUGUUGAUUACUGUCAGCCCUGCAGAAGUUUACACACAGAAGCCUUGCCUGGUGGUGGAGGGCAGAGUGACCCAGCACUGCCUUGCAGGGGACCAGGCCCUGGGCCUCCUGAAGGUUCACUGAAAAAUCAACUCACAAAAGGCUGAUUAAGAGGAUAAAAGAUACCUAACUCAUAGAAAUGACCUGUAAUCAUGGCCUGGGUUAGGAACAAGGAUUUGGAGGAAGAAAGUGCCUUCAAAUCACCCUGCAAAUAGUGUUGUCUACUCAGCCACAGGAAGACAAGCCCUGGGGAUGCAUUCAGCAGGCAGCAGGUCCCGCGGGUUCUACAGCUUCAAAUUACUUGGAGCAAAUGAGGCUUUUCAGCUUUGCUUGCUCAAUGCCAAGCUCCACACUUUAGAAGGGGAUCCUUGUAUACCUGACUCACCACCCGAAGGAAAUGUCUUCAGAGAUGUUCACUGCCCCAGGUAGGGCCCAUGCUCCACGUAAGGCCAUCCGCUCCAGGUGUAAUCGUGCCAGGCUCCAUUGCCCAAUAUGUGGCAAGUCAAUACAUGGAGACACAAAGAAUUGUAGCAGAGAAAGAAGUUUAAUCAUCAGGGAUUCAAACAAGGAGAGAAAGAGUCUCUCUCUGUUACCCAGGCUGGAGUGCAGUGAUGCAAUCAUAGCUCACUGCAACCUCAACUUCUUGGGUUCAAGUGAUCCUCCAGCUUCAGUCUUCUGAGUAGCUGAGAUUAUAGGUACUCACCACCCCACCUGGCUAAUUUUUAAAAAUUUUUUGCACGACAGAAUCUCGCUAUCUUGCCCAGGCUGGUCUCAAACUUCUGGCCUCUAGUGAUCAUCUGCCUUGGCCUCCCAAGUGCUGGGAUUAUAGGCACGAGCCACUGUGCCCAGCCUGUAUAUAUGUUUUUAUUAUUAUUCAGGGUAAAUAUUAUUAUUAUAUUAAAUUAAAUAUUACUCAGGGUAAAUGCCUAAGUGUUGAAUUUCUGGGUCAUAGAGUAGAUACAUGUUUAACAUUAUAUAUGCUAAAUCGUUCCCUGAAGUGGUUGUAUUAUUUUUCACUUCUGACAGCAAGGUAUAGGAAGCUCAGUUGCUGCACAUCUUUGCCAGCCUGUGCUAUUCUCAGUCUUUCUGUUAUAGCUGACCUAGUGUAUGUAAAGUGGUAUUUUAUUAUUGCUUAUUUUGAAUUUCCCUGACUGCAGUGAUUUUGAGCACCUUUUCUUGUGCUUACUGGUCACUGAGUUAGCUCCUUCUCACUAGGGUCUUUUUGAGACCUUAUCUAUUUUUUUUUUCAAAACUGGGUCUUUCUUUUAAUUAUUGAUUUACAGGAAAUUUUUAAAAUAUGUUAUGAGUAAGAGUGUUUUUUUAGAUAUAUAAUGAAUAUUUUCAGGCUGUGAUUUACCUUCUUAUUGUCAUAAUGAUAUGUUUUUAAGAGAAAAAAUUUUAAUUUUGACAUAAUUCAAUUUAUGUAGUUUUUUCUUUCAUUAUUAAGGCUUCUUUUUUUCUAAGAAAUCUGGCUAAACUCAGUGUGGAAAGAUAUUCCUUUAUGUUUCUUUAUGGAAGUUUUUUUUUUUUUAAUUCAAGCUUUUACAUUCAUGGCUCUGAUCCAUCUUGAAUUAGUUGUUACACACGGAGUGAGUAGGGUACAAUGUUCAGCUUUUUCCCAACAGAGUAUUCAGUUGUUCCAAUACAUUUUGUCUAUAAGGCUCCUUUUUGUUUUUGUUCUUUCAUAAAAAUUUAAGGGGUACAAGUGCAGUUUUGCUACAUGGAUAUAUUGUGUAGUGGUGAAGUCUGGGCUUUGGUGUACCCAUCACCUGGAUGAUGUACAUUGUACCCGUUAAGUAAUUUCUAUCCCUUGCCCCUCCCACCUUCCUACCCUUCUGAAUCUCCAGUGUCUGUUAUUCUACACUGUAUGUCCCCAUGCACGCAUUAUUUAGCUCCCACUUAUAAGUGAGAACAGGAGGUAUUUGGCUUUCUGUUUCUGAGUUGUUUCAUUUAAAAUAAUGGCCUCUAGUUCCACCCAUGAUGCUGCAAAAGACAUGAUUUAAUUCUUUUUAAUGGCCGAAUAGUAUUCCAUUGUAUACAUUUAUCACAUUUUCUUUAUGUAAUCACUUAGGUUGAUUCCAUGACUUUGCUGUUGUGAAUAGAGCUGUGAUAAACAUGUGAGUGCAGGUAUUUUUUUUUACAUAAUUUCUUUUCCUUUGGGUGGAUACUCGGAAGUGGAAUUGCUGGAUCAAAUGGAGGUUGCAGUUUUAGUUCUUUGAGAAAUCUCUAUACCAUUUUUCAGAGAGGUUGUACUAAUUUACAUUCCCACCAACAGUGUAUAAGCAUUCCCUGUUCUCUGCAUCCUCACUGAUAUCCAUUGUUUUUUGACUUCUUAGUAGUAACCAUUCUAACUGGUGUAAGAUGAUAUCUCAUUAUGAUUUUGAUUCACAUUUCCCUGAUGAUUAGUGAUGUUGAAUAUUUUUUUUCAUAUGCCUGUUAACUGUUUGCAUGGAAAAGACUCCUUGGCAACUUGGACAUAAAAUAAUUAUUGGUUAAUUUGCAGGUCUAUGUCUAGACCCUGCUCUUUUUCAUUGAUUUAUUUGGUUUGUCCUUAUACAAAUACUACAUUUCCUUGAUUGCUGUAGUUUUGUAGUAAAUCUUGUUUAAGGUCACUAAAAUAGGCCUAUCUCUUCUUUCCAACCUAUAUGGCUUUUUUUUUCUUGCCUUAUUAUCCUACCUAUGACUAUCAGCAUAAUGUUGAAUAAAAGCUAUGAGAGUUGGUGUCAUUACUGUUUUCUGGUUUCAUGUAAAAUAUAUCCAAUAUUUCACCAUAAGUUAUGAUGUUAACUAUUGGUUUUUCAUAGAUAUUAUGAUAGAUUAAAGAAGUUGCUUUUAUUCCUAGUUUUCUGAGAGUUUUAAAAAAUCAUGAAUAGGUAUCAAGUUUUGUCAUGUGCCUUUUCUGUAUCUAUCAAGUUACUCGUAAGAUUUUUUAUUCAGUUAAUGUAGUAAAAUAUGCUGAUUUGGAAUGUAAGUAAGCCUUACAUUCUUGAAUUAAGUGUCAUGCAAAUGAUAUGUUAUCCUUUUUAUGUAAGGCUGGAUGUGAUUUACUAAUUUUUGUUAAAGACUUAUACAUCUAUGCUCAUGACAGAUAUGGUCUAUAAUUUACCUCUUUGAUGUCUCAAGUUUGGAGUCAGGGUAUUGCUAGACUCAUAAAAUAAAUUGGUACAGAUUGACCUAAAUGGAACUCUGAAAAAUACUCACUAUAUAAUCUAAUUGCCAAGUCCAACCCCCAUUAUCAAAUUAAUGAGCAAAACGCAGAAUAAUUUUUGUCAGAAAAAUAUUCCUUUAUUUUUCAAUUCAAAUAAACAUUAUUGAUAUGCACUCCUUUGAUAACCGUCUUCUAAAUUAUAAUUCUAAGAUAGAUAGGUAAAUAAAUAGAUUUAGAUGAAGACACACACCUUUGUUGCUAUAAAAGUGACACACCCUUGCCUUCAAUAUUCCUUAUAGAUAUUUUCUUUGCUUUGCCCUCAAAGACUCAUCCUCAAUAGCAAUACAGUCUUUGACAAGACCAAAAGAGGGAAGACAUAAGGACACACGCAAAUAAAAGUUGUUAAAAUUCUGCUAUUCCAUUCAAUAAUAUAGCUGUACUCCAAGCAUUGACAACAUUUUAAACCUAAACCCGUCAUUUCUAAUACCACGAUUUGCUCUGAACAGAAAUAUGCAUAAUGUGUGGAAAGUCUAGAAGUCCAACCGGGAUGAUUCAACUUUAAAUAAAGAAGGCUACUGAGGCUAUUCAUACCA